rnacentral:tRNA from 1 species
ACAUUGGUGGUUCAGCGGUAGAAUUCUUGCCUUCCAUACAGGAGAACCUAGUUCAAUUCCUGGCCAAUGCA